rnacentral:sRNA from 1 species
UUGUUUGCUCAGGCAUUGUAAUAAAGAUUGACACCUAAAUUCAAUGGGUUGGGGGGAAAUAACAGUCUAUUUACUGUUUGUUUGGUCAAUGAAUAUCAAAAUUGUUUUCAACAUAAUAUCCAUUGUCCAAUCAACUCUUUUUUAUAUAGUAAACAAACUGUUAAUCCGCCUUUCCAUUUAUUUUAGGUGUCAAUCUUAAUUACAAUGCCUGAGCCAACAA